GGGAGCCAAUUUUGCCCGGUGGCAGGCACGGUCUUCAAAACCGUUGAACGGUCUUACGGUCGUUGGUCGGUUCGACUCCGACUGGUUCCCGCCA
rnacentral:tRNA from 1 species